UACAGGAGUUUCUAUGACAGAUAUUUUUUUUAUUACCAAACCUCUGGUGGGAUAACAGAAAAUUUUAUAUCUAGGGAAUUUUUAUGAGAUUUUUACACCUAGGGUACUUGGAAUGCCUCUGGUAACUAUGUUUAUAUCAACAUUCCUAGGAACUGUCUACACUUGCGUAUUAUCACUAGGUUGACAGUUAUUUACUUUCUAGGGAUAUAACAGCUCUGACACAUAAGCUUAAGCUUUUUAAGUCUAGUUUUCACCGAAGCGAGUGUACUGCCACACCGUGACUGGUGGCAUAAUGAAAUUUUAAUAUAUACCCUGUAUAAAGUUACGCGAGGUACUGAAGAUUUGUAUCUUCAUCUAGUAAGAACUUGCUGUUCCGUUAAAUACGAUUGCACGCAGUUGGCUUCAACACGAAGUAUUCGCAUAAUGAAUCGCUACGAGCAGAAAGUCAGCGAUUCUCGCAUCGCUUACCAGCUACGAGCCGGCGAUGAGAUCUGCCAUGUCGGGAACACUUGAAGCAGAAGGAUUUAUCGCAGGACGUCAUCGUAAAAUCAUAACGACCAGUCGUCGUGAAAGUUUCAUGUGCAGGAAGCCCAUACGAGUGUAACGUAAUAUAUGACAGGAAGACAUCAGCUGCGCUUUUGGCUAAUGUCCCAAAACCUGGUGAUAAUUGCCGGACGGAGUAUAUCGCUCGGCCGUUUAUCAGGAAGGAGGUCCGACAUCAACAAGGCGCCAAAUGACGUCAGCUGAGUGACAGACGCGUGAUGCCGUCGCCGUGAUAAUGACAUUUGCCACGUUAGACAGGGGGGUAAUGAGCUACCCGGUGACGGGGAUGAGACAAGCUCGACAAGUGACCUCCUUGGCACCCCUCAGUCUCUUAGUCAAGAUUGUUCCACGGGUUACCAACCCUCUGGCUUCCCCUUCCGUCCAUCUGUCAUUAGACGUCAUUUAUUUGUCGUUAGAGUUCACUUGGGUCGUACUCUUUUUUUUCUUUUUAUUUAUUUUUUUUCUUCCUCGAAGAACGAACUUCACUGCGAAUGUUUCUCAAAUUCAAUUUUCAGGAGGAUAUUCCAGACGUCGGAAUCUUCUUUUGGAGAUGGUCCAAAGCUUUUGAACAAUAUUGAGAUGUGUAUAUGUCUCUUGGUGAAUCAAGGAUUAUGCUACAGCGGAUGCUGUGACAUUGAAAAAUUUUAUAUUUCAUCACUGCGAGGCGGCCUGAUAUUGAUAUCGUUGAUACACGACUACCCUUAUCUUGUGCGGGGUGACUCGUGCGAGGGUGGGCACGUGUGUUGCCGGAGGGAGGGGCAAAGAAAGGAGAGUGAACAGACGUAAAGAAGGGACAAAGAGACGUGGUUACUGUAAGGGAGAUCGAGAGAGAGAAUGAUACAGGGAGAAAAGCACGGAACCGGGUAUAAUACCGUAGCUGUGUUUUAUGGUCUCCCCCGUUUCCUAUUUCGACACAAAUGCGUUAUUAUGCGAAGUUUUAUGCAUGGAAUAUGUUGCGCAUGCUGAGCUUCCGAUAUAUCAUUUAAAUAAAGCCCUGCCGCCUGAACGAAGCAAAGUAUUGGAUAGUUCAAAAUGACAAUUGCACAAAACUUGUCUUAACUACAAGUACGAUGCUUAGACCAUAUUGAAAAGUGGUUUUAGGCGGGAGCUUUCGAAAUUCACUAACAUAGUAAUAGUGCCCAAAAACGUCAUUUCUCAUGUAUCACUAGAAAACAGUGGCUGUAUUCGACAGUCAGUCGAAUACGAAGCAGAAGUGUAUCAAUAUUAAACCAGAAUCGUAUUAGCCAAUAGAGCGCUGUUAUGCUUUUGGCGCGAAAUUCAAAUUUAAUUCUUCGAGAAUGUAACUUUCGCGUUAGCCAACGAUACACAAUGUAUCGUGAGAUAUAAAUAUUCGAGGAUAACAACAAUAGUGAUAACUCUACCUUCGGGAAGACUUGGCAAUAACACGUUUAUCGCUCUGGCAUAGCAGAGAAAUCAGAAUAGUCCUGAGAUUUACGAGGGGUUGUAAAAGUUAACCCUUCUCGCGCGGUUAUCUCGCGAGUCCCUCCAUCCCAUUUCUAUCGAGAGAAAAGAUUUAGAGACAGUCGGCUACCCUGUCACGAACCUUACGACACGAGAGAAAUAUCUCUACUUACGGAACACCCUAUAUGGAGUGUAUGUCGAUCAGAAGUGUCGAUCAAUCAGAAUACAAAUUCGCGCGCGUAAAAAUCGUACGAUAUUGCUUCUCCCAGGAUUCAAGAAUCUAUCUGGUUGGAUAUAUAUGUGCAUACAUAUAUGUAUAUAUAUAUUAGCCACGUGUAUUGGGCGUCGCGACUCCCAACUACCUACUACACGCAGUAUAUACUUAUACAGUAUAUAUAUAUAUAUUUGCCUGCGUUUUCUUCCUUCACGCGUCUUCCUCUCUCUCAGUCACGAAACGCCGGAUACUUCGCGACGCACGGAAAUGUUUUACGAGGGACCAUAAAACAAUCCCAUUUAUGGACGUCAUAUUUUAUCGUUGAUAACCGGUGGGAGAUUUAAAAUAGACGGCCCCGCUGUGUCUGCCUCGCGGCGA